UACAGAGGGGGCAAGCGUUGUUCGGAAUUACUGGGCGUAAAGGGCGCGUAGGCGGCCCGCUAAGUCGAACGUGAAAUCCCCGGGCUCAACCCGGGAACUGCGUCCGAUACUGGUGGGCUUGAAUCCGGGAGAGGGAUGCGGAAUUCCAGGUGUAGCGGUGGAAUGCGCAGAUAUCAGGAGGAACACCGGUGGCGAAGGCGGGUCUCUGGGCAGUAACUGACGCUGAGGAGCGAAAGCGUGGGGAGCGAACAGG
rnacentral:rRNA from 1 species